GUCCGGAUGGCGCAGUGAUUAACGUAACUGCCUAGUACGCAGGAGAUCCCGGGUUCGAGUCCCGGUCCGGCACC